rnacentral:tRNA from 1 species
CAAGGCGUAGCUAAUCCCAAAGCAUUCAGCUUACACCUGAAAGAUGCCUGCUCCACACCAGGUCGCCUUGA